UUGCUUUGGCAGCAUGUAUACUAAAAUUGAAAUGAUACAGAGAUUAGCAUGGCCCCUGAACGAGGAUGACAUGCAAAUUUGUGAAGCAUUCCAUAUUUUU
rnacentral:snRNA from 1 species